GAUUUCUCACCUGUCAACAACAUCCUACACAGCCAAACCUCCUAAAAGGCAUAGUAGAAUAAAGCAACUAUACCAUAAACAGGAAGAAAACAGUUGAACAUCGGUACAGCUUCUUGUGUUCUUCUGAGGGAAGCGCAGCAGAUCACACAUGUGCUACACAACUUCGGACCAUACGAAGUCGCCAAGAUGAAGACAUGCAGAGUCCAAGGAAUGCAUAGCUGCAGAGAUCUCGGGCUCUGCUGGCCAG
rnacentral:lncRNA from 1 species